rnacentral:rRNA from 1 species
AUUCCAGCUCCAAUAGCGUAUAUUAAAGUUGUUGCAGUUAAAAAGCUCGUAGUUGAAUUUCUGGUGGGAGUGUACAGUCCGACACUGAGUGUUGGUUCUUGUGUGUCUCCGGCCAUCCUUGGAGUGAAUCUGUCUGGCAUUUAGUUGUUGGGCAGAGUAUCUCCAUCGUUUACUGUGAGGAAAGGAAAGUGUUCAAAGCAGGCUUACGCCGUUGAAUCUUUUAGCAUGGAAUAAUAAGAUAGGAUCUUGAUACUAUUUUGUUGGUUUUCGGAAAUCGACUUAAUGAUUAAUAGGGAUAGUCGGGGGCAUUCGUAUUCAAACGACAGAGGUGAAAUUCUUGGACCGUUUGAAGACGAACUAUGGCGAAAGCAUUUGCCAAGAAUGUUUUCAUCG